rnacentral:rRNA from 1 species
AUUGAACGCUGGCGGCAGGCCUAACACAUGCAAGUCGAACGAGUGGCGGACGGGUGAGCAAUGUCUGGGAAACUGCCUGAUGGAGGGGGAUAACUACUGGAAACGUUAGCUAAUACCGCAUACCAUCAGAUGUGCCCAGAUGGGAUUAGCUUGUUGGUGGGGUAACGGCUAACCAAGGCCACGAUCCCUAGCUGGUCUGAGAGGGUGACCGGCCACACGGGAACUGAGACACGGGCCAGACUCCUACGGGAGGCAGCAGUGGGGAAUAUUGGACAAUGGGCGCAAGCCUGAUGCAGCCAUGCCGCGUGUGUGAAGAAGGCCUUCGGGUUGUAAAGUACUUUCAGCGGGGAGGCGUUACCCGCAGAAGAAGCACCGGCUAACUCCGUGCCAGCCGCCGCGGUAAUAC